rnacentral:tRNA from 1 species
AUUAAUUUAAUCUAAUAUGGCAGAAUUAUAUGCAAUGAACUUAAAAUUCAUUUAUAAAGAAUAAUCUUUUUUUAGAAA